AUUGAACGCUGGCGGCAUGCCUUACACAUGCAAGUCGAACGGCAGCACGGGCUUCGGUCUGGUGGCGAGUGGCGAACGGGUGAGUAAAGUAUCGGAACGUACCUUUCAGUGGGGGAUAACGUAGCGAAAGUUACGCUAAUACCGCAUAUUCUGUGAGCAGGAAAGCAGGGGAUCGCAAGACCUUGCGCUGAUUGAGCGGCCGAUAUCAGAUUAGCUAGUUGGUGGGGUAAAGGCCUACCAAGGCGACGAUCUGUAGCGGGUCUGAGAGGAUGAUCCGCCACACUGGAACUGAGACACGGUCCAGACUCCUACGGGAGGCAGCAGUGGGGAAUUUUGGACAAUGGGGGCAACCCUGAUCCAGCCAUGCCGCGUGAGUGAAGAAGGCCUUCGGGUUGUAAAGCUCUUUCGGCCGGGAAGAAAUCGCAUGGGCUAAUACCCUGUGUGGAUGACGGUACCGGAAUAAGAAGCACCGGCUAACUACGUGCCAGCAGCCGCCGUAA
rnacentral:rRNA from 1 species